rnacentral:rRNA from 2 species
UACGGAGGGUGCAAGCGUUAUCCGGAUUCACUGGGUUUAAAGGGUGCGUAGGCGGACAGGUAAGUCAGUGGUGAAAUCUCUGGGCUUAACUCAGAAACUGCCGUUGAUACUAUCUGUCUUGAAUAUCCUGGAGGUAAGCGGAAUAUGUCAUGUAGCGGUGAAAUGCUUAGAUAUGACAUAGAACACCGAUAGCGAAGGCAGCUUACUACAGGAUGAUUGACGCUGAGGCACGAAAGCGUGGGGAGCAAACAGG